rnacentral:tRNA from 2 species
GGGCCCAUGGCGCAGUUGGUAGCGCGCUUCGUUCGCAAUGAAGAGGUCGGGGGUUCGAAUCCCCCUGGGUCCACCA